AUGAAUUUCUUUCUCAAAUCAUAAGGGAAGACCAUUGGCAGGGUGCACAUCCUGGACCUUGAGGGCCUGGCCCACAGGUCGGGAGUGGUCCUGAGCAGCCACAGGCCAGGUCUUCUUACUAGUGAAUCAGGGACUGAGGGACACGGCAGGGGGCCCAGUAGUUAACGUGUUGGACUUUUACCAACAUUUUGUUGAGCCUCCUGAGCUCACCCUUUAUUUUCUCCCGGCUGCUGGGGGCUCGCACUGUGAGCCAUGGUUAGAGCCAGGGCCGGCCUCCCGGGGCCUCCAGCUCAGGCUUCUGCCAGGGCCCCACCUGACACCACAGUCCGUGAGGCACACGGCCCCGCUUUUGUCCCUGGGCUCCCUGGCCCUGCUGCCUCUGCUUCUAGGCCUCAGUGUGAUCGCCCCACCUUGGCAUGGGAUUUUGCAGCCCCAUUUCUCACUGUGCUUCUCUGCCCCAGGCCCUGGGGACCUAAUACCAAAGGGAGUGGCCCCACCCAGAGGCAGCCUUGACCGCAUUCCAGGAGAUGCCUCCGCUGACCCAGCCACCAAGCCCCGGCCAUCAGAGCUGGGCUCCGGGGCCUGUUCAUCCUCAGCCAUCACUACAGCUCCUUCCAGCUCCAGCUCCACCUCCCGGCACCCAGGCCGCACCCACGAGAUGACAGCAUCUGAGGACAGCAGAAGAGCUGGAAAUGACGGCCCCGGAGGUGUUAGAAACUGACGAGAGAAGAAGCGGUUAUGAUUUUUCAUCAUCUUACCUCCCACUGGACCCUGGAAGCUAUGACAAGCAUAACCGUGGUUUGACAAGCCCAGCAAAGACAGACAGGCCCCCUGCCCUCUAGGCUGCCUGGCUCAGCUUCAGGACCUGGCCCCUGGUUUACAAAUCAGAAGUACCCCUGGGAGGAGGUGAGGGUCCCGGCCAGGCAGCUUAGAGAGCCGUAGGCAUGCGUCCAGUGACGGCUCACCUCGGGGCCUGAAGGGUAAGUCUGCUUUCCUUCUGG